GCAACUAGAGGGACUGUAGGAUGAUGGGAGACCAAGUUCCCCAAAGCUGCACGGCCUCUAGAAACCCUGUAUUUCACAGCUUCUCCCUAAACACAUUUGCCCUGGAGAAUUCUUUGGCUUUUCUGCAGCAGAAUUGAGGAAUGGGGACAGCUAGAAAUAGAGAAUUGACAGGGCAGAAAAUCCAUAAACAACUAUGUCUCUGCAAUUAAUACCAAUACGGAGAUGUGGACAGACCCUGGGGUGUGGCCGGCACAAAACAACAGAGGUGAAGAGGCGGCCCUAGUGCAAGAAGGUGAACAAGCCCACCCUGAUUCCAGGAGGAUAUUUCCCUGGCUUCUUUCCCUGCAGUCAAACCAUGCGACCCCAGGAUCCACGGCUUACCAGUUGUGUGACCUCCUUACAAAUAGGGGUGUGCCGUUACCACUCACAAGCAUGAUCUGCAGCAGCAGCAGCUGUGGUUAUGAAGGCCUGCCUCUCCUUCCUGUUCCUUCAUCAGGACUCCAGACUGUCCUUACCUGCCCACAGCCUUCCCGAUGGUCCUUGGGCACUGCUUUCUCCUCUUCCUGCAGCUUUGCCUGUGUGCCACCCCGAGAAUCUUCAGUUCUGCUUCCCUCUGUUUCGUCUGCCUCACGUUGCAUGAAGCCUAGUGUCCCUGCAACCUCUUUCCCAGGCUCUUCCCAGGCCCCAGUCUCUCCAUGCAGGAGGGCAUCCUCCACUCCUGGACCCUCAAAAGCCUCUGUGCGGUGAAGACAUCUUAAACAGAUAUUGGAUUUCUCAUAUUCCCUACUGGAGCUCCUGGGCCUGGUGUGUGAAGAAUUCCAUCCUCUGACUGAUGGGUUGCUGGCAGCAGCAGGACCACUCGGGGCCGGCAUUUAGAGCCUGAUAAACAUUUCCACAUGUUGAGCUUCAUGAACUGAUGGUCUGGAUUUGGGGCCAAGCAGGAAAAUGACCACAUCACUGAAGCCACUUCCCAAAUUAUGAGAUUUAAUGAGCCAAGGAAAUUAAAUUAUUCUCUAAAGUACUUUCUGGUUUAGAUUACGACUGGGUGGCAGCCGUUGCUACCACCAAAUCUUUCGGAAAAAUGACACACAGAUAACACUGAACUUGGCUCAAAAUGCUAUGAUUUUACUUAUCCAUUCACGUUUACUAAGAGUCCGCUAUAUGAGGAGUAUUGAACCGAAGAACGGCUGGUACACAGACUUGGGUCCCUGCCCACAAAGAGUCUGCAUGCGACCUGUCAGGAGGGCCAAGGCAUGGAAAUAAAGACUUAUAAUGAGGAAGCACUAUGUGAUAAGCAGAGUAAAAAUGGUAGAAAGUUUAAAGAGUGCAAGAGGACCAAGACAUCAGAAAAGUUCUCCUGGAAGAAGUGUCACAUGCAUUGGGCUUUGUCAGGUAAGUGAAAUUUAGGAUUUCAACAGCUGGCGUUGUAGAGCCCCUGGAGCUGAGUGAUGUGAGCUUGAAGAAGUCAGAGGCAGAAGGCAGAGGAAGAGGGGACAUGAGGUUGAUGCUGGGAGCUUGAGCUGGAAAGCCUCACACACCAUCAUGAAUUUAUUUAUUUAUUUAUUUAUUUAUUUAUUUUAGGG
rnacentral:lncRNA from 9 species